rnacentral:pre_miRNA from 1 species
UUUUUUUUUUAGGUUUUGACUUUUAUUGCAUCUUCAUAUGAAAAUCAAAACCUAAAUAAAAUG